rnacentral:ribozyme from 1 species
UGCCCAGCAACUCCUAUCUCUACCUCCACGCGGUACCGGCCGGAAACUAUGAGCAACCUUAGGUAACCAACCAACCAAGAGCUGAGG